rnacentral:rRNA from 1 species
CUACGGGCCGCUGCAGUGAGGAAUAUUGCACAAUGGGGGAAACCCUGAUGCAGCAACGCCGCGUGGAGGAUGACGCAUUUCGGUGUGUAAACUCCUUUUAUAUGUCAAGAAAAUGACGGUAGCAUAUGAAUAAGCACCGGCUAACUCCGUGCCAGCAGCCGCGGUAAUACGGAGGGUGCAAGCGUUACUCGGAAUCACUGGGCGUAAAGGACGCGUAGGCGGGUUGGAAAGUCAGGUGUGAAAUCCUACAGCUUAACUGUAGAACUGCACUUGAAACUUCUAAGCUAGAGUAUGGGAGGGGGAGAUGGAAUUAGUGGUGUAGGGGUAACAUCCGUAGAUAUCACUAGGAAUACCUAAAGCGAAGGCGAUCUCCUGGAACAUUACUGACGCUAAGGCGUGAAAGCGUGGGGAGCAAACAGGAUUAGAUACCCCUGUAGUC